GGCGACAUGGCCGAGUGGUCUAAGGCGCUAGAAUCAGGUUCAUUUCCUUCUAUCUAGUCAUUCGUGGCGUGGGUUCGAAUCCCACUGUCGUCA